GGAGAGCAUAAACCAGAACCUGAGCCUAGAGCUGGUGAUGAGGAGCAGGACAGCGGUGGAGCCGGAGCGGGGCACAAGUGGGUGUUAAUGAUGUUUUGGACCAAAUCGAUUAUGUUCCUGUUGAUCUUCCUUCAGUGCCAUCCACAGAUUUCGUCAAUCCCACAUCAAGAACUAUUACACCUAACAAAAUUGACCGUAUUGGACUGCAUAUAUAUUUGGAUUGGAGUAGUUUUGCCUACAUUUUACUUCCACUUCUUGUAUAGUUCUUAAUUAAUAAUAAAUUAAUAAAUACUCCA